AAUAUUUGAUAGAGUCCUAACCUCAACAUAUGAGGAAAGGGAUUUAGGGGUGAUUAUUUCUGAUGACUUAAAGGUAGGCAGACAAUGUAAUAGAGCAGCAGGAAAUGCUAGCAGAAUGCUUGGUUGUAUAGGGAGAGGUAUUAGCAGUAGAAAGAGGGAAGUGCUCAUGCCAUUGUACAGAACACUGGUGAGACCUCACUUGGAGUAUUGUACACAGUACUGGAGACCGUAUCUUCAGAAGGAUAUUAAUACCUUAGAGAGAGUUCAGAGAAGGGCUACUAAACUGGUUCAUGGAUUGCGGGAUAAAACUUACCAGGAAAGGUUAAAGGAUCUUAACAUGUAUAGCUUGGAGGAAAGACGAGACAGGGGGGAUAUG